GACGGAGGAUGCAAGUGUUAUCCGGAAUCACUGGGCGUAAAGCGUCUGUAGGUGGUUUAAAAAGUCCACUGUUAAAAAUUGAAGCUUAACUUCAAAGAUGCCGUGGAAACUUUUAAACUUGAGUAUGGUAGGGGUAGAGGGAAUUUCCAGUGGAGCGGUGAAAUGCGUAGAUAUUGGAAAGACCACCAAUGGCGAAGGCACUCUACUGGGCCAUUACUGACACUGAGAGACGAAAGCUAGGGGAGCAAAAUGGG
rnacentral:rRNA from 1 species